rnacentral:rRNA from 1 species
AUUGAACGCUGGCGGCAGGCUUAAUACAUGCAAGUCGAACGAGUGGCGGACGGGUGAGUAAUGCAUGGGAAUGUAGCCAAUGGAGGGGGAUAACUACGGGAAACAGUAGCUAAUACCGCGUACCAUAGGAUGAGCCCGUAUGGGAUUAGGUAGUUGGUGGGGUAAAGGCUCACCAAGCCGACGAUCUCUAGCUGGUCUGAGAGGAUGACCAGCCACACUGGGACUGAGACACGGCCCAGACUCCUACGGGAGGCAGCAGUGGGGAAUUUUGCGCAAUGGGGGCAACCUGACCCAGCCAUGCCGCGUGAAUGAGGAAGGCCUUCGGGUUGUAAAGUUCUUUCGGUAGCGAAGCGGUAACUACAGAAGAAGCACCGGCUAACUCCGUGCCAGCAGCCGCGGUAAUUC